rnacentral:rRNA from 1 species
AUAUCAAUAAGCGGAGGAAAAGAAACCAACAGGGAUUGCCCUAGUAACGGCGAGUGAAGCGGCAACAGCUCAAAUUUGAAAUCUGGCUCUUUCAGAGUCCGAGUUGUAAUUUGCAGAGGGCGCUUUGGUGUUGGCAGCGGUCCAAGUUCCUUGGAACAGGACGUCACAGAGGGUGAGAAUCCCGUACGUGGUCGCUAGCCUUCGCCGUGUAAAGCCCCUUCGACGAGUCGAGUUGUUUGGGAAUGCAGCUCUAAAUGGGAGGUAAAUUUCUUCUAAAGCUAAAUACUGGCCAGAGACCGAUAGCGCACAAGUAGAGUGAUCGAAAGAUGAAAAGCACUUUGGAAAGAGAGUCAAAUAGCACGUGAAAUUGUUGAAAGGGAAGCGCUUGCAGCCAGACUUGCCUGUAGUUGCUUAUCCGGACUUUUGUCCGGUGCACUCUUCUGCGGGCAGGCCAGCAUCAGUUUGGGCGGUUGGAUAAAGGUCUCUGUCAUGUACCUCUCUUCGGGGAGAACUUAUAGGGGAGACGACAUGCAACCAGCCUGGACUGAGGUCCGCGCAUCUGCUAGGAUGCUGGCGUAAUGGCUGUAAGCGGCCCGUCUUGAAACACGGACCAAGGAGUCUAACAUCUAUGCGAGUGUUUGGGUGUCAAGCCCAGACGCGUAAUGAAAGUGAACGGAGGUGGGAACCCUUUGGGUGCACCAUCGACCGAUCCUGAUGUCUUCGGAUGGAUUUGAGUAAGAGCAUGGCUGUUGGGACCCGAAAGAUGGUGAACUAUGCUUGAAUAGGGUGAAGCCAGAGGAAACUCUGGUGGAGGCUCGCAGCGGUUCUGACGUGCAAAUCGAUCGUCAAAUUUGGGCAUAGGGGCGAAAGACUAAUCGAACUAUCUAGUAGCUGGUUCCUGCCGAAGUUUCCCUCAGGAUAGCAGUAACGUAUUCAGUUUUAUGAGGUAAAGCGAAUGAUUAGAGGCCUGGGGGUUGAAACAACCUUCACCUAUUCUCAAACUUUAAAUAUGUAAGAAGUCCUUGUUACUUGAUUGAACGUGGACACUUGAAUGUACCGUUACUAGUGGGCCAUUUUUGGUAAGCAGAACUGGCGAUGCGGGAUGAACCGAACGCGGGGUUAAGGUGCCAGAAUAUACGCUCAUCAGACACCACAAAAGGUGUUAGUUCAUCUAGACAGCAGGACGGUGGCCAUGGAAGUCGGAAUCCGCUAAGGAGUGUGUAACAACUCACCUGCCGAAUGAACUAGCCCUGAAAAUGGAUGGCGCUCAAGCGUGUUACCCAUACCCCGCCGCCGGGGCAGAAUUUAUGCCCCGGCGAGUAGGCAGGCGUGGAGGCUCGUGACGAAGCCUUGGGGGUGACCCCGGGUAGAACGGCCUCUAGUGC